rnacentral:rRNA from 1 species
AGUGAACGCUGGCGGUAGGCCUAACACAUGCGAGUCGAACGGCAGCACAGUAAGAGCUUGCUCUUACGGGUGGCGAGUGGCGGACGGGUGAGGAAUACAUCGGAAUCUACUUUUUCGUGGGGGAUAACGUAGGGAAACUUACGCUAAUACCGCAUACGACCUACGGGUGAAAGCAGGGGAUCUUCGGACCUUGCGCGAUUGAAUGAGCCGAUGCCGGAUUAGCUAGUUGGCGGGGUAAAGGCCCACCAAGGCGACGAUCCGUAGCUGGUCUGAGAGGAUGAUCAGCCACACUGGAACUGAGACACGGUCCAGACUCCUACGGGAGGCAGCAGUGGGGAAUAUUGGACAAUGGGCGCAGGCCUGAUCCAGCCAUACCGCGUGGGUGAGGAAGGCCUUCGGGUUGUAAAGCCCUUUUGUUGGGAAAGAAAAGCAGCAGGUUAAUACCCCGCUGUUCUGACGGUACCCAAAGAAUAAGCACCGGCUAACUUCGUG